rnacentral:rRNA from 1 species
GGGCAUAGUACCUGCUGUGUAGAUACAUUUUCUGCCCCGAAUACAUUAGCAUGGGAUAAUGGAAUAGGACCCUGUCCUCCUAUUUUCAGUUGGUUUUGGCAGCGCGAGGACUAGGGUAAUGAUUAAUAGGGAUAGUUGGGGGCAUUAAUAUUUAAUUGUCAGAGGUGAAAUUCUUGGAUUUAUGAAAGAUUAACUUCUGCGAAAGCAUCUGCCAAGGAUGUUUUCAUUAAUCAAGAACGAAAGUUAGGGGAUCGAAGACGAUCAGAUACCGUCGUAGUCUUAACCAUAAACGAUGCCGACCAGCGAUUAGGAGACGUUGAAUACAAAACACCACCAUCGGCGCGGUCGUCCUUGGCGUCGGUCCUUCGGGGCCGGCGCGAGGGGGGCUUAUCCCGGUGGGGCCGGUGAAUGAGUCCCUAUCCCUUUGUUGAGAAAA